rnacentral:rRNA from 1 species
UACGGGGGGAGCAAGCGUUGUCCGGAAUCAUUGGGCGUAAAGAGCGUGUAGGCGGCCCGAUAAGUCCGCUGUGAAAGUCCAGGGCUCAACCCUGGGAUGCCGGUGGAUACUGUCGGGCUCGAGUCCGGAAGAGGCGAGUGGAAUUCCUGGUGUAGCGGUGAAAUGCGCAGAUAUCAGGAGGAACACCAAUGGCGAAGGCAGCUCGCUGGGACGUGACUGACGCUGAGACGCGAAAGCGUGGGGAGCAAACAGG